CUUGCCCACCCUUGCUUGGCUGUGGCACCCAUGUAUACAUGAGUUGUUGUCAGGAGUGAAUGAGGUGAUGGCACUGGUUGCCCAAUUGCCAGCAAAUAUGAAGUGCUCACGAACAGAAAGGCAAUCCAGGGUGCAACUUGCAUGUCAUAGAGAAUCACACCAGCCUACCUCUUCUUUUCCAAAAAUCCAGGUCUACAGUUUCCUCCUUGAGGGUGAUUUUUGUAAUCCUGCAGCACCAGGAUGUGUUGGCUGUGGCCUGGAGUCAAUUACCCUUGUCAGCUAAGACAGCAUGUCCACCCAGUAGGAACUCAAGAGCCUGCUGCCAGAAUAUCUUUCCUUCCACCCUACCCUAACCGUGAAGUGAGGCACCAACAUUCUUUAAGGAAUUCUGCUGAAGUCACAGUUUCCCAGAGGCUCAAUUUGAUGCUGGGGAGAGGAGUGGGACAAUCAUCCCCCUCCCACAUCACACAUUCUGGACACGAGCUCCUCUUCAGGGGCCAAGUGUGUGAGGCCAGAUUCCAUCAGGAGGAACAAGAC
rnacentral:lncRNA from 1 species